GUUUGAUCCCAAACUCUUUCCUGUCUCCACCUCUAUUCUCUGCCUGCCUGAAACCAGAGAGGGUUAAAACAGGAAAGAAGAUGGAAUUGUUCCCUGGUCCUCUCUUUUAUCAGGUGCGGGAGUCCUGCCCCCAUCCCAGGCCUCAGGAAGAGAAAGAAGAACGAGACACAGUCAUACUCAUCUCAGCAGAGGUCAAGACAGCAGUCUGCAUCAAUAAUAGAAUAGCAUCUCAUUCUGCAGCCUCUGCCUUCUGGUUUGUUUUCCCAAACGUCAUUUCAAUAUGCUCAGUGGUUGGUUGAUGUAAACCAAGAUACCUGGAUAUAGGAGCUCUAUAUGAUGAAGUGAAGAGGUUUCACGCUGCAUUUUCCAAUUGCUGUUUCUCCCUUCCUACCUCUCU
rnacentral:lncRNA from 1 species